AGAGUUUGAUCAUGGCUCAGGAUGAACGCUAGCUACAGGCUUAACACAUGCAAGUCGAGGGGAAACGACAUCGAAAGCUUGCUUUUGAUGGGCGUCGACCGGCGCACGGGUGAGUAACGCGUAUCCAACCUGCCCACCACUUGGGGAUAACCUUGCGAAAGUAAGACUAAUACCCAAUGAUAUCUCUAGAAGACAUCUGAAAGAGAUUAAAGAUUUAUCGGUGAUGGAUGGGGAUGCGUCUGAUUAGCUUGUUGGCGGGGUAACGCCACCAAGGCUACGAUCAGUAGGGGUUCUGAGAGGAAGGUCCCCCANAUUGGAACUGGAGACACGGUCCAAACGUCCUACGGGAGGCCA
rnacentral:rRNA from 1 species